rnacentral:rRNA from 1 species
ACGGCGUCGAGCGGCGGACGGGUGAGUAAUGCCUAGGAAAUUGCCCUGAUGUGGGGGAUAACCAUUGGAAACGAUGGCUAAUACCGCAUAAUGCCUACGGGCCAAAGAGGGGGACCUUCGGGCCUCUCGCGUCAGGAUAUGCCUAGGUGGGAUUAGCUAGUUGGUGAGGUAAUGGCUCACCAAGGCGACGAUCCCUAGCUGGUCUGAGAGGAUGAUCAGCCACACUGGAACUGAGACACGGUCCAGACUCCUACGGGAGGCAGCAGUGGGGAAUAUUGCACAAUGGGCGCAAGCCUGAUGCAGCCAUGCCGCGUGUGUGAAGAAGGCCUUCGGGUUGUAAAGCACUUUCAGUCGUGAGGAAGGUGGUAGUGUUAAUAGCACUAUCAUUUGACGUUAGCGACAGAAGAAGCACCGGCUAACUCCGUGCCAGCAGCCGCGGUAAUACGGAGGGUGCGAGCGUUAAUCGGAAUUACUGGGCGUAAAGCGCAUGCAGGUGGUUUGUUAAGUCAGAUGUGAAAGCCCGGGGCUCACCCUCGGAAUAGCAUUUGAAACUGGCAGACUAGAGUACUGUAGAGGGGGGUAGAAUUUCAGGUGUAGCGGUGAAAUGCGUAGAGAUCUGAAGGAAWACCGGUGGCCGAAGGCGGCCCCCUG